GAGUUUGAUCCUGGCUCAGGAUGAACGCUGGCGGCGCGCCUAACACAUGCAAGUCGAACGGAGCUUAGAGAGCUUGCUUUUUAAGCUUAGUGGCGAACGGGUGAGUAACGCGUGAGUAACCUGCCCUAGAGUGGGGGACAACAGUUGGAAACGGCUGCUAAUACCGCAUAAGCGCACGGCAUCGCAUGAUGCAGUGUGAAAAACUCCGGUGGUAUAAGAUGGACCCGCGUUGGAUUAGCUAGUUGGUGAGGUAACGGCCCACCAAGGCGACGAUCCAUAGCCGACCUGAGAGGGUGACCGGCCACAUUGGGACUGAGACACGGCCCAAACUCCUACGGGAGACAGCAGUGGGGAAUAUUGCACAAUGGGCGAAAGCCUGAUGCAGCGACGCCGCGUGAGCGAAGAAGUAUUUCGGUAUGUAAAGCUCUAUCAGCAGGGAAGAUAAUGACGGUACCUGACUAAGAAGCACCGGCUAAAUACGUGCCAGCCACCGCGGUAAUAC
rnacentral:rRNA from 1 species